rnacentral:rRNA from 1 species
UACGGGGGGGGCAAGCGUUGUUCGGAAUUACUGGGCGUAAAGGGUUCGUAGGUGGCCAACUAAGUCAGACGUGAAAUCCCUCAGCUUAACUGGGGAACUGCGUCUGAUACUGGUUGGCUUGAGUGCAGGAGAGGAACGCGGAAUUCCAGGUGUAGCGGUGAAAUGCGUAGAUAUCUGGAGGAACACCGGUGGCGAAGGCGGCGUUCUGGACUGCAACUGACACUGAGGAGCGAAAGCGUGGGGAGCAAACAGG